UCGGAGAAUGGAUGUUGUGACCACGUACAAAAGUAUAAGAAACUUGAGUGCUUGUGUUGAGAAGAGGGUGAGAGUUGGGAUGGGUGGUUGGCUACAGUUUGGGAGGGAAGAGUUGGGAUGGGGAAGAAGAAGGAGAAAUAGAGGAAGAGAGAGUCGGCAGAGUGGGUAUAUAUUGUCUUUUACCGAUAGAAUCACCGAUGGAAACGUUCCAUCAAUAUACCCGUCGGUAAGUCCACCGGUGAUUGUUUCACGUCACUGUACG
rnacentral:lncRNA from 1 species